rnacentral:rRNA from 1 species
GAUGAACGCUAGCGAUAGGCCUAACACAUGCAAGUCGAGGGGCAUCACAUGAGGCAGCAAUGCCGAUGGUGGCGACCGGCGCACGGGUGAGUAACACGUAUGCAACCUGCCUUCAACAAGGGGAUAACCCGUUGAAAGACGGACUAAUACCCUAUAACACAGGGGUCCCGCAUGGGAAUAUUUGUUAAAGGACAACCGGUUGAAGAUGGGCAUGCGUUCCAUUAGCUAGUUGGCGGGGUAACGGCCCACCAAGGCAACGAUGGAUAGGGGAACUGAGAGGUUUAUCCCCCACACUGGUACUGAGACACGGACCAGACUCCUACGGGAGGCAGCAGUGAGGAAUAUUGGUCAAUGGACGCAAGUCUGAACCAGCCACGUCGCGUGAAGGAAGACGGCCCUACGGGUUGUAAACUUCUUUUAUACGGGGAAUAAAGUGCCCCACGCGUGGGGUUUUGCAUGUACCGUAUGAAUAAGGAUCGGCUAACUCCGUGCCAGCAGCCGCGGUAAGUACGC